rnacentral:rRNA from 1 species
GAUGAACGCUGGCGGCGUGCCUAAUACAUGCAAGUCGAGCGAACGGACGAGAAGCUUGCUUCUCUGAUGUUAGCGGCGGACGGGUGAGUAACACGUGGAUAACCUACCUAUAAGACUGGGAUAACUUCGGGAAACCGGAGCUAAUACCGGAUAAUAUUUUGAACCGCAUGGUUCAAAAGUGAAAGACGGUCUUGCUGUCACUUAUAGAUGGAUCCGCGCUGCAUUAGCUAGUUGGUAAGGUAACGGCUUACCAAGGCAACGAUGCAUAGCCGACCUGAGAGGGUGAUCGGCCACACGGGAACUGAGACACGGUCCAGACUCCUACGGGAGGCAGCAGUAGGGAAUCUGCCGCAAUGGGCGAAAGCCUGACGGAGCAACGCCGCGUGAGUGAUGAAGGUCUUCGGAUCGUAAAACUCUGUUAUUAGGGAAGAACAUAUGUGUAAGUAACUGUGCACAUCUUGACGGUACCUAAUCAGAAAGCCACGGCUAACUACGUG